AAGUCUAAAAUGACUCUCGGCAACGGAUAUCUCGGCUCUCGCAUCGAUGAAGAACGUAGCGAAAUGCGAUACUUGGUGUGAAUUGCUAAUCCNAA
rnacentral:rRNA from 1 species